rnacentral:misc_RNA from 1 species
CGUAAAUUAAGUCUCUACCCUUCAGUUUGGUAAUUUCUUUUGUGUUUUUUCCAGUUAUAUUAUAUGAGCCUUUUGUUAAGAUAUAUAGUGUUGUUCACAACCUCAUUGUUGAGGUGUUAUACACAUACUCACAGUUGAAGGAGUCUGUUGUGUCUUAAAUUCCUUCACUUGUACCUUCUGCUGGAAAAUGUACUUUUGUUAUUUUACCUAAUGUGUACUUUAUCAAGG